AAUACGAUAACAUUGGUGCUAGAUUUUAGGUGUGGUGAAUCCCCCUAUGCGGAGGGGCAUUGCCAGUCUGAUAUGUUUUUUGCGCAUUGCGAGUCGUCUGUGGACUGGCGGCGACUUACCGGGAGGCACCCGGCACCACACUCCAUGUUUUUCUUGUUUUACGUACUAUACUUUUUGUGUGG
rfam:Raoultella planticola strain GCSL-DIFS-295 CFSAN029441_contig0686, whole genome shotgun sequence.